rnacentral:lncRNA from 1 species
UUUGUAAUAACUGAAAAUAUCAAUGAAGAUAUUAUUCUUGGCAUACCGUUUAUUAGUCAGUUGAAACCAAGUCUAUUACAGACUCAUGGCCACUACCCUUGCUCCAAGAGCAAGGAUAGAGAGUUCCAAAGGUGUGACUAUGUUGAUGGAAGCCAACCAAUUACAGACCAAAGGGAUAAGUACAAGGAGAGAGAGAGAAGGAGAGAGUGCAGUGCCAAAACAGCCGGAAUCUAUCUUAGACAUCGUUCUCGGGGUUUUUAAAGUUUGUUUUAUUCUUUCAAUUUUUAUUUCUUCUUUAAUAAAAGAAAUAUGAUCAGACAAACGAUUUAUUUUGAAAAUAGUU